rnacentral:rRNA from 1 species
AGUGAACGCUGGCGGUAGGCCUAACACAUGCAAGUCGAACGCAGCACAGUAAGAGCUUGCUCUUACGGGUGGCGAGUGGCGGACGGGUGGGGAAUACAUCGGAAUCUACUUUUUCGUGGGGGAUAACGUAGGGAAACUUACGCUAAUACCGCAUACGACCUACGGGUGAAAGCAGGGGAUCUUCGGACCUUGCGCGAUUGCAUGAGCCGAUGUCGGAUUAGCUAGUUGGCGGGGUAAAGGCCCACCAAGGCGACGAUCCGUAGCUGGUCUGAGAGGAUGAUCAGCCACACUGGAACUGAGACACGGUCCAGACUCCUACGGGAGGCAGCAGUGGGGAAUAUUGGACAAUGGGCGCAAGCCUGAUCCAGCCAUACCGCGUGGGUGAAGAAGGCCUUCGGGUUGUAAAGCCCUUUUGUUGGGAAAGAAAAGCAGCAGGUUAAUACCCCGCUGUUCUGACGGUACCCAAAGAAUAAGCACCGGCUAACUUCGUG